AAUAAAUUUUAUUUAGGUUUGGGAUUUUAAUAGUUGGUUAUAUUAUAUGCUAAUUUAAGUAUUAAGAAAAAUUAAUUUUAAAUAAGUUAAUUAGGUCACUUAGCAAUAAAUAAAAUUGAAACUUUAUGAAAAUAAGAUUCAGUAAUUAAAUUUAGUAUUGGUCAAAUUUGUGCCAGCAAUCGCGGUUAAACAAAUAGUGCAAUUAAAAUUUUAUUGGUUGUAAUUGAUAUGAUAAAUUUAGAUUUACAAUUUAGUUUAUUAAGUAGAAUUUUUAAAUUAUUAUUAAUCUAUAUGUAGUUUAAAAUAUUGAGAAAUUCAAAGAUUAGACUAGGAUUAGAUACCCUAUUAUUUUGAGUGUUAAAUUUAAAUACUUUAUUAGUAGUAGUUAUGUUCUUGAAAAUAAAUAGAUUUGGCGGUACUUUAGUCCAUUCAGAGGAACCUGUCCUAUAAUUGAUAAUCCACGAUUUAUUGCACUUAUUUUAAUUAGUUUAUAUAUCGCCGUUUUAGAAUUUUUUGAAAGAAUUUUAAUAUUUAAGAUUUUAUUUAUAAAAGUAGUUCAGGUCAAGAUGUAGUUUAUAGAUAAGGAGAGAUGGGUUACAUUAAUUUUAUUUAUUGGAUUAUUAUUUUAAAAAUAAUAAGAAAUUGGAUUUGAAGGUAAUUUUAAUUAGUUUAUUAAGAUGAUUUAGGCUCUAGAGUAUGUACAUAUCGCCCGUCACUUUCACUCUAAAGUGGAAUAAGUCGUAACAUAGUAGGUGUACUGGAAAGUGUGCCUGGAAAGGC
rnacentral:ncRNA from 1 species